CAUAUUUGUUUGUCGUGUGCUGAAGCGUGCCUCACCCUGACAGUUUUCUCAGUCACUUCAGAAAACUUUGUAAGCGAAAACCCAGACUGAGACCAACGAACAAGCAAAAGUUUCUCAAACUGAAAGGGAAUUGAGGGGGAGAAUUUUCUCCUUUCUUGACUCUAGAGAAGGUGGCCCCAGAGAGCUGUGUCAUUAAGUAUCAUAAACUCCUUUUGUUUAGUUUUGUUCUUUGGGGAAGUGUCGGUGUACUCGUUUUCUAUUGCUGCUGUAGCCAAUUGCCACAACCUUAAUGGCUUAGACAACGCAAAUUUCUUAUUGUUCUCCAGGUUGGAAGUCCAACACAAGUUUCCUGGGCUAAAAAUCAAGGUGUCAGCAGGGCUGCAUUCCUUUCUGGAGGGUUUAGGGGAGGACUUAUUUCCUUGCCUUUUCCAGCUUCUAGAGGAUGCUCACAUUCUUUGGUUUCUGCCCCCUUCCUCCAUCAUUAAAACCAGCAACGUAUUUUUUAAAACUACGGUUCGAGAAGGAAAAAUGUGCCUUAAUUGUCCACAGCUUGCUGGUGCUUUUGUGUGUGAGAUAGGGCAGUCCAGACUGGCUUGUUCCUGUCUCCAUGCCUGUCUGCUAAAGAGAUGCUCUGUUGGGUGCAUAUCAUGUAGAUGAUCUGAUUAUUGCAGAGAAAUAAAGAAGUUACAUUUUCUUUUCCAGUCUGAGUGAGGAUGCAAUGUUUUCCAGGAAGUGAACAGCAUAGCAGUAGAUGUUUUGACCUGUGGAAAGCAUCACUUAAUUCUGUAAAGUGUUAAGUGAAAGUUUUAAACCAUGAGUUGACCUUUGGCCUGUGAAGCUGAAUAAAUUGUUCAAAUCUUACCCCUAAAUGUCUCAUUACACAGCCUGAGCUGGCACUGGAAAGGAUUGAAGUGAAGAAGAUGUGUGCGCUCUGAACCCCUGAAGCAUGAGCCUCACUCCGUCCAACAGAAGGUGGUGCUGAGAUCUGCAGAAGCCAAAUGAGGAAAUUAUGAUGAAAUAUUUGACCUACAUCGGGAAAUGUCAAUUAAAAUAAGGUACACUUGCCUGAUGCAUAUGGAGACUGAAGUAGCAGUAAUUUUCCAGCUUCUCGUUCUACUAGUUACCAACCAGCUCUACGAGCAAAAACAUCUGGGAAGCCAGAUACCAUUGGUAGAACAGGUUUUGUUUCUUUUUAUUUCCAGAAGUGCUCUAAAAUUCAUGCUCCGAAAAUCGCCAGAGGAAAAGAAUACGGGUUUGUAGUGAAAAUCUCUCUUUCACAAGAAAAGGCAUUAGAGAUAAAUUUCUUGAUUUUCCCCUGUGUUUGAUCUCCAUACAACUGACAUCCUUGUUUACGUGAUGGCUUCAGCAAGGAUCCAUUUGGGGAGUGUUGUAAAUGAAUAUUGACCCCUAAAGAAUACGUCCACAUUCUAACCCCAGAAUCUGUGAAUAAGACCUUACUUGAAAAAGGAUCUUUGCAGAUGUAAUUAAGGAUCUUGAGGUAAGAUCAUCCUGGAUUAUCCAAGUGAGCCUUCAAUACAAUCACAAACAUUCUUGCAAGAGAUGAGAAAGGAGAAGACACAGGCAAGCGGAAGGAAAAGACAUAUGAGGAUGAAGACAGACAUUGAAGUUAUGCAGCCAUAAGCCAAGGAUUUCCUGGAGCAACCAGAAGCUGGAAGAAGCAAGAACGGAUUGUCCUCUACAGACUUCAGAGCGGGUGCUGUCCUAUGAACACCUUGAGUUUGGACUGCUGGCCUCCAAAAUUGUGAGAGAAUGAACUUCUGUAGUUUUAAGCCACCAAACAUGGUAAUUUGUUAUGUCAGCCGUAGGAAACUAAGCCAGAGAGUAUGAUCAUCUUAACAGUACUAUGUUUCCCUAUUUGUGAAUGUGUAAUGUCUUUCCACUUAUUUAUCUAUCUUCUUUAAUUUCCUUCAACA